UUCUUUAUAGUCUAUAUAUAUGUAAUCGAAAUUUGAUAUAAUUUAACACCCAAAUACGGGUAGAGCAAUUGCUCGAUGUGGAGUUGCGGUAUACAGCCGGGUACCGUGCUCAAUAGAUCGGAAGAGGAUUAAGAAAGGCCUCCUGCUAAACCAAGAUAGAAGGCACAACCCAGCUGUCGUGGCACCUGCGGAAUUGGGGUUCCAGGUGGCGACAAAAAAAUUUCAAGUCUCUGGACCUUUCAGUCUCUAAACGUUUUCAAUGGGCUAAGGGUAUCAAAAUAAACCGAAUAAUAAAAAGGCAGUUUCUAUGAAUUUCUGGCCGUAGCGUUCUUUCGGUGUGUCGAGGCUUACCUGCUACAGUUUCUGGAACUGACUCUUUUUGUCAUUAUUCCCAAGUUCUCCAGUUUCUGGUUUUAGCAUUUGGUGCACGUUUCGCGCUUUGCAUGAUUAAUUGUUUAUGCAAAUUGAUGUUUGCUUUUAAGGCAUAGAGCGAGAGAGAGAAAAAGGGGAGGGAGAAAGAGCGAGAGCAAGAGAGGAGGAGCUUGGUGGAGCAGAGCGAAAUAGAGGCAUUUGCAGCGUAUGUUGUUUGUAUAUUUUGCGUAGGCAACUUGAUAUUGGCAGUUUAUCAGCAUAGUUCAUUUCAUUUAUUGACUGUAUGCCAAUUUGUUUACCAUUUUAUUGUUAGCUGUAUCUAUAUAUGUAUGUAUACUUAUGCUGCCUGGGCUAGGCAUUAUCCCACUAUUACACAUGUACUGCUUAUGACUAUUCAAUUAAUACACAA